GCCUGGAAUCUUGAUCCAGUUGGUAGAACAUGAGAUGCUUAAUUUCAGGGUCAUGGGUUCAAGCCCUUCGUUGGGCA